UCUCUCUGAUGGCUCAGUAGAUCCUGCUUUACCCUUCACUGUGUGCUCAAUAAAAGAGAAGGGAAGAAACCUAUGGCUGAGGGA
rnacentral:snoRNA from 1 species